GGAACAACAAGCUUUUAGGAGAGAAGAUCCGAUGGACGGACCAACAUUCGACCUGGCCACUACCAGAUCUGCCACCAACAAUUUUGCACUCAGAAAUAAGCUUGGGGAAGGAGGAUUUGGUGCAGUUUACAGGGGCCAACUACUGGAUGGUCUAGAAAUAGCUGUGAAGAGGCUGUCAUGAAAUACUGGGCAUGGCCCAAAGCAAUUCGACAAUGAGGUGCAGACACUCACUAAACUUCAACACAAAAAUC